UAAAAGGACUUUAAUCAUAUUUUCAAAUACGAACUGCAAUAUAUGUAUGUCAAAUAUAUGAACAUCGAAUUAAGCGCAAGCUUUAAAUGUUUCAGUCGAAUUCGCUGGCUGAUUCACAAUUCGUAUGUGGAUGGGUCACACUUGAGAGUUAGAUACUCUAAAUGGAAAUAGCGCUAUUGCACACAAACUUGCAUAUAUGUAUAUAUGUGAAUCUUUGUCAAAAUGGGUCAAAGGCAUAAAAAUAGAAAAAUACUUAAUGAAUUAUCACUCGGAAACACCCUGAUUAAAUGCAGCUAACUCGAUUUUGAUAGAUAACACAACACUGGCGGGCGAAAAGAUUGGUGGGCUAGAGCAGCUGUGGUCUACAUAAAAAAAAUUUAAAAAGAAUUUAUAAAU